ACCCAGCAGCUAGCCCCCAGCCACAUAAUUCAAUAUACAACAACUUUAUUACCGUCGAAAACAAAUCAUUUUUCCACCUUAGUAUGGGCGACAGAACAGGA
rnacentral:rRNA from 1 species